GACGAACGCUGGCGGCGUGCUUAACACAUGCAAGUCGAACGGAAAGGCCCUGCUUUUGUGGGGUGCUCGAGUGGCGAACGGGUGAGUAACACGUGAGUAACCUGCCCUUGACUUUGGGAUAACUUCAGGAAACUGGGGCUAAUACCGGAUAGGAGCUCCUGCUGCAUGGUGGGGGUUGGAAAGUUUCGGCGGUUGGGGAUGGACUCGCGGCUUAUCAGCUUAUUGGUGGGGUAGUGGCUUACCAAGGCUUUGACGGGUAGCCGGCCUGAGAGGGUGACCGGCCACAUUGGGACUGUGAUACGGCCCAGACUCCUACGGGAGGCAGCAGUGGGGAAUAUUGCACAAUGGGCGGAAGCCUGAUGCAGCAACGCCGCGUGCGGGAUGACGGCCUUCGGGUUGUAAACCGCUUUCGCCUGUGACGAAGCGUGAGUGACGGUAAUGGGUAAAGAAGCACCGGCUAACUACGUG
rnacentral:rRNA from 1 species